AGUGAACGCUGGCGAUAGGCCUAACACAUGCAAGUCGAACGGCAGCACAGUAAGAGCUUGCUCUUACGGGUGGCGAGUGGCGGACGGGUGAGGAAUACAUCGGAAUCUACUUUUUCGUAGGGGAUAACGUAGGGAAACUUACGCUAAUACCGCAUACGACCUACGGGUGAAAGCAGGGGAUCUUCGGACCUUGCGCGAUUGAAUGAGCCGAUGUCGGAUUAGCUAGUUGGCGGGGUAAAGGCCCACCAAGGCGACGAUCCGUAGCUGGUCUGAGAGGAUGAUCAGCCACACUGGAACUGAGACACGGUCCAGACUCCUACGGGAGGCAGCAGUGGGGAAUAUUGGACAAUGGGCGCAAGCCUGAUCCAGCCAUACCGCGUGGGUGAAGAAGGCCUUCGGGUUGUAAAGCCCUUUUGUUGGGAAAGAAAAGCAGCAGGUUAAUACCCCGCUGUUCUGACGGUACCCAAAGAAUAAGCACCGGCUAACUUCGUG
rnacentral:rRNA from 1 species